rnacentral:rRNA from 1 species
GACGAACGCUGGCGGCGUGCUUAACACAUGCCAGUCGAACGGAAAGGCCCUGCUUUUGUGGGGUGCUCGAGUGGCGAACGGGUGAGUAACACGUGAGUAACCUGCCCUUGACUUUGGGAUAACUUCAGGAAACUGGGGCUAAUACCGGAUAGGAGCUCCUGCUGCAUGGUGGGGGUUGGAAAGUUUCGGCGGUUGGGGAUGGACUCGCGGCUUAUCAGCUUGUUGGUGGGGUAGUGGCUUACCAAGGCUUUGACGGGUAGCCGGCCUGGGAGGGUGACCGGCCACAUUGGGCCUGAGAUACGGACCAGACUCCUACGGGAGGCAGCAGUGGGGAAUAUUGCACAAUGGGCGGAAGCCUGAUGCAGCAACGCCGCGUGCGGGAUGACGGCCUUCGGGUUGUAAACCGCUUUCGCCUGUGACGAAGCGUGAGUGACGGUAAUGGGUAAAGAAGCACCGGCUAACUACGUG